rnacentral:rRNA from 1 species
AAUGAACGCUGGCGGUAGGCCUAACACAUGCAAGUCGAACGGCAGCACAGUAAGAGCUUGCUCUUACGGGUGGCGAGUGGCGGACGGGUGAGGAAUACAUCGGAAUCUACUUUUUCGUGGGGGAUAACGUAGGGAAACUUACGCUAAUACCGCAUACGACCUACGGGUGAAAGCAGGGGAUCUUCGGACCUUGCGCGAUUGAAUGAGCCGAUGUCGGAUUAGCUAGUUGGCGGGGUAAAGGCCCACCAAGGCGACGAUCCGUAGCUGGUCUGAGAGGAUGAUCAGCCACACUGGAACUGAGACACGGUCCAGACUCCUACGGGAGGCAGCAGUGGGGAAUAUUGGACAAUGGGCGCAAGCCUGAUCCAGCCAUACCGCGUGGGUGAAGAAGGCCUUCGGGUUAUAAAGCCCUUUUGUUGGGAAAGAAAAGCAGCAGGUUAAUACCCCGCUGUUCUGACGGUACCCAAAGAAUAAGCACCGGCUAACUUCGUG